UUUCAGACAACAACCGAAAUAUAAAAAUAUACCCAUAUUAACAACUCAUCAGCCAACUGCACAUCCUAAUCAACUUUAAACUCAACAUAGUGACAAAUUUUUUUUCCAUCCUUGGAAACACAUCCAGAUCAACUUCAAACCCAACACAGAGCCAGACAGACAGCAAUAUAAUAUUCAACAAUAACAUCAGAAAGUUUACCACCAGAUUAACUCCUGCAGAGGCUAAUGAAUGGCAGAAAAGGAUGGAGUCUCGUUUAAACCAGGACGUUUUAGAAAAUUUGUUUGGCGUAAUCAGGUUAAAAGGCGGUCUUCACGAUCACCCUGACAGGAAGGAGUUCAAGUAUAGGCUACGUUCCUAUAUACUUGGUCACAACGAAGGCCCGAUUACAGAUGAAGGAAAUGUUGAAGUCGACAAUACCCCAGAUUUGGAAGGGAAUUACUUAUCUCUAACCGGUAAUAUUUUUCAACGUGUGUCAGUUGAUCUAAAUUCCGCUGACCCAAUUAAAAAAAAUGAUGACUUGAAGAUUCUCAACAACGACGGGCUUAAAAAUUUGGCAGGGUACAUCUGCCAGAAACUUG